rnacentral:rRNA from 1 species
GACGAACGCUGGCGGCGUGCCUAAUACAUGCAAGUCGAGCGAAUCAAAGGGAGCUUGCUCCCUGAGGUUAGCGGCGGACGGGUGAGUAACACGUGGGCAACCUGCCUAUAAGACUGGGAUAACUUCGGGAAACCGGAGCUAAUACCGGAUAAUUCUUAUCAACUCAUGUUGGUAAGCUGAAAGAUGGUUUACGCUAUCACUUAUAGAUGGGCCCGCGGCGCAUUAGCUAGUUGGUGAGGUAACGGCUCACCAAGGCGACGAUGCGUAGCCGGCCUGAGAGGGUGAUCGGCCACACUGGGACUGAGACAGGGCCCAGACUCCUACGGGAGGCAGCAGUAGGGAAUCUUCCGCAAUGGACGAAAGUCUGACGGAGCAACGCCGCGUGAGUGAUGAAGGUUUUCGGAUCGUAAAACUCUGUUGUUAGGGAAGAACAAGUACUAGAGUAACUGCUAGUACCUUGACGGUACCUAACCAGAAAGCCACGGCUAACUACGUGCCAGCAGCCGCGGUAAUAC